UAAUGGGUCAGCGACUUAUAUUCUGUAGCAAGGUUAACCGAAUAGGGGAGCCGAAGGGAAACCGAGUCUUAACUGGGCGUUAAGUUGCAGGGUAUAGACCCGAAACCCGGUGAUCUAGCCAUGGGCAGGUUGAAGGUUGGGUAACACUAACUGGAGGACCGAACCGACUAAUGUUGAAAAAUUAGCGGAUGACUUGUGGCUGGGGGUGAAAGGCCAAUCAAACCGGGAGAUAGCUGGUUCUCCCCGAAAGCUAUUUAGGUAGCGCCUCGUGAAUUCAUCUCCGGGGGUAGAGCACUGUUUCGGCAAGGGGGUCAUCCCGACUUACCAACCCGAUGCAAACUGCGAAUACCGGAGAAUGUUAUCACGGGAGACACACGGCGGGU
rnacentral:rRNA from 1 species